rnacentral:rRNA from 1 species
CAGGCUUAACACAUGCAAGUCGAGGGGCAUCAGGAAGAAAGCUUGCUUUCUUUGCUGGCGACCGGCGCACGGGUGAGUAACACGUAUCCAACCUGCCCUUUACUCGGGGAUAGCCUUUCGAAAGAAAGAUUAAUACCCGAUGGCAUAAUGAUUCCGCAUGGUUUCAUUAUUAAAGGAUUCCGGUAAAGGAUGGGGAUGCGUUCCAUUAGGUUGUUGGUGAGGUAACGGCUCACCAAGCCUUCGAUGGAUAGGGGUUCUGAGAGGAAGGUCCCCCACAUUGGAACUGAGACACGGUCCAAACUCCUACGGGAGGCAGCAGUGAGGAAUAUUGGUCAAUGGGCGCUAGCCUGAACCAGCCAAGUAGCGUGAAGGAUGAAGGCUCUAUGGGUCGUAAACUUCUUUUAUAUAAGAAUAAAGUGCAGUAUGUAUACUGUUUUGUAUGUAUUAUAUGAAUAAGGAUCGGCUAACUCCGUGCCAGCAGCCGCGGUAAUACGGAGGAUCCGAGCGUUAUCCGGAUUUAUUGGGUUUAAAGGGAGCGUAGGUGGACUGGUAAGUCAGUUGUGAAAGUUUGCGGCUCAACCGUAAAAUUGCAGUUGAUACUGUCAGUCUUGAGUACAGUAGAGGUGGGCGGAAUUCGUGGUGUAGCGGUGAAAUGCUUAGAUAUCACGAAGAACUCCGAUUGCGAAGGCAGCUCACUGGACUGCAACUGACACUGAUGCUCGAAAAGUGUGGGUAUCAAACAGGAUUAGAUACCCUGGUAGUCCACACAGUAAACGAUGAAUACUCGCUGUUUGCGAUAUACAGUAAGCGGCCAAGCGAAAGCAUUAAGUAUUCCACCUGGGGAGUACGCCGGCAACGGUGAAACUCAAAGGAAUUGACGGGGGCCCGCACAAGCGGAGGAACAUGUGGUUUAAUUCGAUGAUACGCGAGGAACCUUACCCGGGCUUAAAUUGCAGUGGAAUGAUGUGGAAACAUGUCAGUGAGCAAUCACCGCUGUGAAGGUGCUGCAUGGUUGUCGUCAGCUCGUGCCGUGAGGUGUCGGCUUAAGUGCCAUAACGAGCGCAACCCUUAUCUUUAGUUACUAACAGGUCAUGCUGAGGACUCUAGAGAGACUGCCGUCGUAAGAUGUGAGGAAGGUGGGGAUGACGUCAAAUCAGCACGGCCCUUACGUCCGGGGCUACACACGUGUUACAAUGGGGGGUACAGAAGGCAGCUAGCGGGUGACCGUAUGCUAAUCCCAAAAGCCUCUCUCAGUUCGGAUCGAAGUCUGCAACCCGACUUCGUGAAGCUGGAUUCGCUAGUAAUCGCGCAUCAGCCACGGCGCGGUGAAUACGUUCCCGGGCCUUGUACACACCGCCCGUCAAGCCAUGGGAGCCGGGGGUACCUGAAGUACGUAACCGCAAGGAUCGUCCUAGGGUAAAACUGGUGACUGGG